GUGCCAGCAGCCGCGGUAAUACGUAGGGUGCGAGCGUUGUCCGGAAUUACUGGGCGUAAAGAGCUCGUAGGCGGUUUGUCGCGUCGUCUGUGAAAUUCUGCAAACUCAAUUGCAGGCGUGCAGGCGAUACGGGCAGACUUGAGUACUACAGGGGAGACUGGAAUUCCUGGUGUAGCGGUGAAAUGCGCAGAUAUCAGGAGGAACACCGGUGGCGAAGGCGGGUCUCUGGGUAGUAACUGACGCUGAGGAGCGAAAGCGUGGGUAGCGAACAGGAUUAGAUACCCUGGUAGUCCACGCCGUAAACGGUGGGUACUAGGUGUGGGUUCCUUUCACGGAUCGUGCCGUAGCUAACGCAUUAAGUACCCGCCUGGGAGUACGGCCGCAAGGCUAAAC
rnacentral:rRNA from 1 species